GAAUUCACUAGUGAUUGAGUUUGAUCCUGGCUCAGAUUGAACGCUGGCGGCAUGCCUUACACAUGCAAGUCGAACGGUAACAGCACUUCGGUGGCUGACGAGUGGCGAACGGGUGAGUAAUACAUCGGAACGUGCCCGAGAGUGGGGGAUAACGCAGCGAAAGCUGUGCUAAUACCGCAUACGAUCUACGGAUGAAAGCAGGGGACCGCAAGGCCUUGCGCUCAUGGAGCGGCCGAUGGCAGAUUAGGUAGUUGGUGGGAUAAAAGCUUACCAAGCCGACGAUCUGUAGCUGGUCUGAGAGGACGACCAGCCACAUUGGGACUGAGACACGGCCCAGACUCCUACGGGAGGCAGCAGUGGGGAAUUUUGGACAAUGGGCGAAAGCCUGAUCCAGCCAUGCCGUGUGCAGGAUGAAGGCCUUCGGGUUGUAAACUGCUUUUGUACGGAACGAAAAGGUCUUUUCUAAUAAAGAAGGCUCAUGACGGUACCGUAAGAAUAAGCACCGGCUAACUACGUGCCAGCAGCCGCGGUAAUACGUAGGGUGCAAGCGUUAAUCGGAAUUACUGGGCGUAAAGCGUGCGCAGGCGGUUAUAUAAGACAGAUGUGAAAUCCCCGGGCUCAACCUGGGAACUGCAUUAGUGACUG
rnacentral:rRNA from 1 species